rnacentral:lncRNA from 1 species
AUGGACAAGUUGACAAAUCUGAGGCUAUUAAAUAUGCCUUUAGGUAAGUUUAUGAAGAGAAUCGACCUGGGGGUUUUCCACGAGUUACAAAGGCUUGAAAUGUUACAUCUACCCAUAAGACGUAGAGAUGUUGCAGGAAGAGUUCUAUUUCUUGAGCUACUUCAUCCAUUGACAAGACGUAGAGAUGUUGUUGAAGCAACUUCUUUUGAUGAGAUAUCACAUCUACCCAAUNNNNN